UACGUAGGAUGCAAGCGUUGUCCGGAAUUACUGGGCGUAAAGGGUGCGCAGGUGGCGGCGCGCGUGGGGGGGUGAAAUCGCCCGGCUUAACUGGGCGGGGGCCUUCCAGACGGCGUGGCUUGAGCAGCGGAGGGGGACGUGGAAUUCCGGGUGGAGCGGUGAAAUGCGUAGAGAUCCGGAGGAACACCGACGGCGCAGGCAGCGUCCUGGCCGCUUGCUGACACUGAGGCACGAAAGCUGGGGGAGCAAACAGG
rnacentral:rRNA from 1 species